GUGAACGCUGGCGGUAGGCCUAAUACAUGCAAGUCGAACGGCAGCACAGUAAGAGCUUGCUCUUACGGGUGGCGAGUGGCGGACGGGUGAGGAAUACAUCGGAAUCUACUUUUUCGUGGGGGAUAACGUAGGGAAACUUACGCUAAUACCGCAUACGACCUACGGGUGAAAGCAGGGGAUCUUCGGACCUUGCGCGAUUGAAUGAGCCGAUGUCGGAUUAGCUAGUUGGCGGGGUAAAGGCCCACCAAGGCGACGAUCCGUAGCUGGUCUGAGAGGAUGAUCAGCCACACUGGAACUGAGACACGGUCCAGACUCCUAAGGGAGGCAGCAGUGGGGAAUAUUGGACAAUGGGCGCAAGCCUGAUCCAGCCAUACCGCGUGGGUGAAGAAGGCCUUCGGGUUGUAAAGCCCUUUUGUUGGGAAAGAAAAGCAGCAGGUUAAUACCCCGCUGUUCUGACGGUACCCAAAGAAUAAGCACCGGCUAACUUCGUG
rnacentral:rRNA from 1 species